GGGUGGUGUGAGAAGAAGUCAAGUAUCCUCCAGGUUUCCUGAAUGUGUGAUUUAGGGUUGGGUUUGAGAGCAUGGACCAUGUCAGGGAACUUCAUCCCAUCACGGAUGAAAAAGACAGGGAAAUUGUUGCCCACCAGGUCGAAGUUACCCUCUCUGGUGUAAAACUUGACAGCAAAACCUCGGGGGUCUCUGAGAGUUUCAGGACUUCCAAGCUCAUGGAUAACAGUAGAAAACCUGACAAUAACAGGGGUCUGGACUCCAGGGGCUCGAAGGAAAUCAGCGCAGGUGAGAUGAGAGAUAUCAUGAGUUACUUCAAA
rnacentral:misc_RNA from 1 species